AAUACAUGCAAGUCGAGCGGACCGACGGGAGCUUGCUCCCUUAGGUCAGCGGCGGACGGGUGAGUAACACGUGGGUAACCUGCCUGUAAGACUGGGAUAACUCCGGGAAACCGGGGCUAAUACCGGAUGCUUGAUUGAACCGCAUGGUUCAAUUAUAAAAGGUGGCUUUUAGCUACCACUUACAGAUGGACCCGCGGCGCAUUAGCUAGUUGGUGAGGUAACGGCUCACCAAGGCAACGAUGCGUAGCCGACCUGAGAGGGUGAUCGGCCACACUGGGACUGAGACACGGCCCAGACUCCUACGGGAGGCAGCAGUAGGGAAUCUUCCGCAAUGGACGAAAGUCUGACGGAGCAACGCCGCGUGAGUGAUGAAGGUUUUCGGAUCGUAAAACUCUGUUGUUAGGGAAGAACAAGUACCGUUCGAAUAGGGCGGUACCUUGACGGUACCUAACCAGAAAGCCACGGCUAACUACGUGCCAGCAGCCGCGGUAAUACGUAGGUGGCAAGCGUUGUCCGGAAUUAUUGGGCGUAAAGCGCGCGCAGGCGGUUUCUUAAGUCUGAUGUGAAAGCCCCCGGCUCAACCGGGGAGGGUCAUUGGAAACUGGGGAACUUGAGUGCAGAAGAGGAGAGUGGAAUUCCACGUGUAGCGGUGAAAUGCGUAGAGAUGUGGAGGAACACCAGUGGCGAAGGCGACUCUCUGGUCUGUAACUGACGCUGAGGCGCGAAAGCGUGGGGAGCGAACAGGAUUAGAUACCCUGGUAGUCCACGCCGUAAACGAUGAGUGCUAAGUGUUAGAGGGUUUCCGCCCUUUAGUGCUGCAGCAAACGCAUUAAGCACUCCGCCUGGGGAGUACGGUCGCAAGACUGAAACUCAAAGGAAUUGACGGGGGCCCGCACAAGCGGUGGAGCAUGUGGUUUAAUUCGAAGCAACGCGAAGAACCUUACCAGGUCUUGACAUCCUCUGACAACCCUAGAGAUAGGGCUUCCCCUUCGGGGGCAGAGUGACAGGUGGUGCAUGGUUGUCGUCAGCUCGUGUCGUGAGAUGUUGGGUUAAGUCCCGCAACGAGCGCAACCCUUGAUCUUAGUUGCCAGCAUUCAGUUGGGCACUCUAAGGUGACUGCCGGUGACAAACCGGAGGAAGGUGGGGAUGACGUCAAAUCAUCAUGCCCCUUAUGACCUGGGCUACACACGUGCUACAAU
rnacentral:rRNA from 1 species